rnacentral:misc_RNA from 1 species
CUGCCCUCGAGCGCGGUUCGGUCCCUAGCGGGCCGGCCGCCGCCCGGUGUUGGGGCGCUGCGGGCCCUCGUGCCCGCAGGCCCUGAAAUGAAGUGGCGGUCCCGCCGCGGCGCCCCCUGCGUAGUAGUAAAGCACCUCGCAUCGGGACCCGGCGGAGGCCAGCCGUCGAACCUCUUCUAUUGAUG